rnacentral:misc_RNA from 1 species
UGGUUCUGGCAUCGAUGAAGAACGCAGCGAAAUGCGAUAAGUAAUGUGAAUUGCAGAAUUUUGUGAAUCAUCGAAUUUUUGAACGCACAUUGCACCUUUUGGUAUUCCGAAAGGUAUGCUUGUUCGAGCGUCGUUUAAUUAUACUAGAUUUAAUUAUCUGGUGAUCUGAGGAAUUUUAUUUUCAAAAAUAAAAUCCUUUAAAAUUAUUGCGCGGUACUCUUAUCUCGCAGUCAUUUAAUUAUGUCUGUUUUGUCCAGUACAUUAUUUUAUUAUAAAAUAUUGGAUAAUCUCUACGAGUGCUAUUGCCAAAAUAUAGUUACUGCAGAUAAUUAUAAAAAUCGACCUCGAAUCAAGUAGGAAGACCCGCUGA